GAGUUUGAUCGUGGCUCAGAUUGAACGCUGGCGGUAUGCUUAACACAUGCAAGUCGAACGGUAACAGGCUAGCUUGCUAGCGCUGACGAGUGGCGGACGGGUGCGUAACGCGUAGGAAUCUGCCUAUUAGUGGGGGACAACCUGGUGAAAGCCAGGCUAAUACCGCAUACGCCUACGGGGGAAAGCAGGGGAUCUUCGGACCUUGCGCUAAUAGAUGAGCCUGCGUUAGAUUAGCUUGUUGGUGAGGUAAUGGCUCACCAAGGCGACGAUCUAUAGCUGGUCUGAGAGGACGAUCAGCCACACUGGGACUGAGACACGGCCCAGACUCCUACGGGAGGCAGCAGGUGGGGAAUAUUGGACAAUGGGCGGAAGCCUGAUCCAGCAAUACCGCGUGUGUGAAG
rnacentral:rRNA from 1 species